GCCAAAAUAGCUCAACGGUAGAGCAACUGUCUUGUAAACAGUAGGUUGCAGGUUCGAUUCCUGUUUUUGGCA
rnacentral:tRNA from 1 species